AAAAGUGACCCGUCCUUGUUUUCUACAUAAAGUCACAAGCCCAUCUCACCGCAGCACUUACUAUCCCACGAUUCCAUUUUGAUUUUUUUCUAUAGUGCUGUCAUGAGUUGAAUACCAUUCUCUGAAAAUCCAUGUCCUUUCUGAAAGCUCAGAAUAUGACCUCAUUUGGAAACAGGGUCCUUGUAGAUGUAAUCAAAUUAGGAUGAGGUCAUAAGGAUGCGUCCUAAUCCAGUAUGACUGAUGCCCUUAUAAGAAGAGGGAAAUGUGGACACACAUAGGGAGAGAGCUCUCUGUGAAGAGGAGGAGGCAGAGACCGGAGUGGCCCAUCUACAAGCCCAGGACCAUGAAGGACUGCCAGCUGUCCCCAUGAGCUGGGCUUAGGAAGCAAUCUUGAGGACGGCCCAAUUCAAGGAGAAGCAAGUGCAAUGCCCCGCGUGACGAUCAUCCACCAUGCAAGCGAGAAGCGCAGGAUUUAUAGGAGGUUGAGAGAAAGAACUGAGGUGCCUUGAAUGGACAAGAACUUGGAAGAAUUUAGAAAGCUGAGGAAGAAUGGCUAGAAGCCUUUUAGGGAGAGUUCAUGAAAAGCCAAAACACUUUCCAAGUGGUUAUGUGUCCACGACGGUCUUUGCUUUGUGUGCCAUGUAUUUUUUUCUUUUUUCUUUUAGUCUUCAAGAUUUUGGUUUUAAUUAUUUCGCUGAUGAAUUUUAUAUUAAAUGUAAACUCCGGGGCAGAGCUUUGCUGUCUAAUGAAAUGUAUGCAGCCAAUGAAGAAGUUUAAGCCACAAGAUCCAGUGUGUUCCACACAUUUGCAAUCAUCUGUGGAAAGUCAACUACUCUGGGCCUCAGUUGGCCCACAGGAAGAUACAGGAGACACUCCCAGAUCACUGAUAUUAUAUAAUUACCGUGUCAAAUACCAACAUACCCUUAUGGCGAAUCCCCUUUCCACUUCCAAAUAAAUGGAUAUUUGUUUUCAAGUAAGACUUCUUGUUAUCGAUAA